GGGGCCGACCUGGUUUCGACGUGGGUAGCGAAGCGGCACAGGGCAUGCCGAGGCGCCUUUUCCUCGUAAAUCAAUUGGCAAAACUGUAAACGCCAACGAUCAGCGUUUCGCUCUCGCGGCUUAAACCCCGCGGGCGCCGCAACAGUCAGCCGAUGGGCUGGGCCUGACCGGGUAACCGGAAGGGCCGCGGUGUAACUUCAAUCGGCUAGCGGCCGGUCAGGGCUACUUUGACCGGAGGCGAAAACUUAGGUAGCUGGGUGUGGAUCGGCCUGUCGAUCGGCAAAAUCCGCACUGAGACUAAAAUUGAUCGACUACGCAUGUAGAACUGGUCGUAGAGGACUUGCGGACGCGGGUUCGAUUCCCGCCGGCUCCACCA
rnacentral:tmRNA from 1 species